rnacentral:lncRNA from 1 species
AAUAAAUAUCAACAAAAUUCUAAUUUAAUCCUAAUUGAAAUCUUAAUAGACUUCAAACAAAUCCUAAAUAAAUCCUAAAUAAAUCCUAAAUCCUAAACCAAACUUUAGAUCAAAUCUUAGAUCCUAAACCAAAUCCUAAAUCAAAUCUUAUAUAAACCCUAAAUCUUAAAUCAAAACUUAAAUCAAAUUCUAAACAAACCUUAAAUCCUAAAUCAAACCUUAGUUCAAAUCCUAGACCUUAAACCAAAUUCUAAAUCAAAUCCUAGACAAAUCCUAAAUCCUACAACAAAUCCUAAAUCCUGAACCAAAUCCUAAUCAAACCCUAGAUAUACCUUAAAUCCUAAAUCAAACCCUAAUCCUAUUCAAUCUAAUCCUAAUAUACUUUAGAAUCUCAAUAUCUAUCAAUUGAACCAUUGAUCUUGCUUAAAUAUUUAUACACCUUUUAAUAACUGAGUUGGAAAUAAGCACACAAAAUUUGAAGAUAAUCGCACUUAUCAAAUGGAAGAAAAAUCCUAAAUUUUGCUUGGAUGUUAACCUGCCUCCUAUUCUAAUCGAAAUAUUGAACUUCUAGCGAUAAUAUUUCCUUAUCAAACCAUUCAAUUUUUUUCAAAUCUCACAUGUAUAUAAAAAAUCAACUCUACUACUAUCAAACAUAAAUUUUAUUUGAAUCUAAUUAAUAGAUUAUUAAAGAUCUUAGAAAUCCUAACUACCUUUUAAAGUCUAAUUUUUGAGACCUCAACCUACCUAAAAUUCAAUAGCCUUCAAUUUAAUUGUUUAAUCAAGCUCAAACUUACAACACAUACUUUAGACAAUUAUUUUCAUAAAACAUCAAAUUUUUAACCAUAGAUCUACUACCAAAUUCACAAAAUUUUCCAAAACGUAAUACUUUUUUUAUUUCAAAAAUUCCAA